GAAAGAUAAAGCCCAGCCAGAGCGAAGACAACCAGAGCAGGUGCUUCCAGACACUGUACAACGACUUCAGGUGCAGCCAGGCUGGAAACCACACACUCUGAAAACACCUGAGUUUAGUCCUCCCUGUCAAAGAGGUCAUGAGAACUGGGAUGCCUGGCAGCGUGAGCGUGUCUUGCUGGCAAGUGACGACACAUGACAUGAAAAAGAUCCAUGCCUUCCAUAAUGGAUGCCUCAGGAAAAUCUGCCACAUCUUCUGGCCUUAGAAGAUCUCAAAUGAACAGAUACAAGAUGACUAAGUGCGACAGUGUGGUGCUGGAGAUCAAAUGCUGCUGAAUUUGAUGGAUAGGGCGUGUCUUCAGAACGGCCCCAGAUCGAAUCCCCUAAGGUUGCACUGAGAUGGAUUCCAUCAGAGAAAAGGCAGAAAAGGCCGGCCCAAAACAACUUGGCGGCGAACUGUGACAGCUGAGUUGAAGGAAAUGGACCUAACAUGAGGCGAAGCACAGCAUGCAACACAUGACGGGUCUAGAUGGAGGCAGAUCGUUGAAACCUUAUGUCCCACCAGGGACGAGGAGGAUUUAGUUAGUAAGUAAUCUUUGCACUAGGACUUUCUGUUUUGAGUGAAUUUGAGUCCAUUUAUUAUUAUUAAUAUUUGUUAUAAUUAUUGACAGUAAACAUGGAUACAGCCACACAUAGGAGCCUCAAAGAAUAAACACUGCUUUCACAUUGACUAAUGAGAUUAACAAUAAAUUUAUAUUGAUCAUGUCUUUUGUUUCCACAAAACAAUUAAUCGAGCAGAACAUGUAACUGUUAUACUGAAACUACUUACACAAACUAAUGAUAUAACUUACUGUAUGCAUAAUUUAUGUAAAUAGUGUG